GUGCGGACUCCUGCCGCAAAACCUGAAACCAAAUGGGGAGGGGGGUGACUAGUGUCGGUGGCGGCUCCGGUGCGGGUCGUAGCCCCCGCCCGACCACGGAUCCGGCCAUGGAGCUGGGUUGAAUGCCGUGCCUGGACUGGACAUCGGCGCAGAGGAAGACUCCUGCCAUGGAGCGGGCCUAUGCAUUUUCUGGACAUUGACCCACCCUCGUUGACAAAGUAUACUCACGAUCCCGGCCCGGCAGGAGCUUCUGCUUGGGUGAACCAGACCCCGGUCCAGAAAGACCCCUGACGCAAACUGGAUAUUGGCCUAACCGUGCGAGUGUUCGGGUUGAAUAGCUAUGUCGUCAAACAUGGAUAUGUUUUCCUCUUGAAUUACAGUGCUUGCAUAAGUUAAUGGUAGAUGUGACUGAAUAGAAUUAACGUUGCGGACAGUCACCACUAGAAUAUCGACAACGAUGGCUUCUACCCCUUCUGCUUCUGCUUUGUCCGCUGUUCUACGGUGUCGUGGGAAUAUCCUAGCCAGGAAUCAAGCGAACAAGAAGCGGCCUGCCACCUCGGGAUACAACCUCGGAUUGGUUAGCGGAGCGGUAUGCGACUCCGUGCGGCCAAAACGAACUCGCUCAGUAUGGAAGUCAUUUUUUCAAGAACAACGACUUGAGUUUGGAAAUGGAGUGUCUUUGGAAUAUAAACCUGCGUGGAACACCAAGACGAGAGAUUAUGAGUCGGUAAAUUAUACAUGUCAAGUAAAGAUUUCGGAGCUAAGAAUUUGUGCGCCAGGGGUCCCGCGCUCCUUGAAUAUGCCAAAUGUCCAAAAUGAAAAAUUGCCCAAUGUGAAAGAAUUAAAAAUGACAUUACUCGUAGGAACUAUGAGAAAAAAAAUUGGGACAAAAUCAUAGAAACCUCCCCUGCCGUUUUGAAUGUGUCCAUAACUUGGCACAAUAAGGAAAUAGAGGAAAAUAUGAUCCCUGCUUUUAUCCUAAAUGGUUGGUCUACUCUGAAGAACAGAUGCUUCUUUUUCACUGUGUUUGCGUCUGAAAUAAUGCAUGUGAAACUGGGAGUGUUCUGCAGGUCCAGGCCAAAUGAUGUAGGUGAAGCUGCCAUGGAGGGACAGACCACGAUCAGAGGAAAAAGCACCUCUGUCAAAAGUAUUGCUCAACAGGAUGAGUCAUUGAAUGGACAAAGUGGAAGUCCAUUUGAUUAACAGCCUUUGAUUGACACCUCCCAGUCUCCUGAACAAAGGACCUCAGAGGGCAGUGCACACCCAUACAGACACACACACAAAAAUAUGCAUAGGCGACUCUCCCAGGCACCAGGGUGGAAUGGCCAAUGUGAAAACACUGUAGUGUACCUGCUGUUUUAAUAUUUUCAAAGCACUUUGUAUGGGACUUCCAGAAAGGCGAUGAACUGUAAGCACCAGACUUUGAGACACGCUGCAUGAUGACAUGUUUUCUUAUCAGUUGAUAAGUCACUCAGUUGUUUUGACAAUCGCUUCGCUGUAUGAAAGCCAAAGAUCUCUGUUAGCUCUGAUGAUUAUUAGAAAUAAACCAAAAAUCUGACA